GGAAGGCCCUUCGGGGUACUCGAGCGGCGAACGGGUGAGUAACACGUGAGCAACCUGCCCUAGGCUUUGGGAUAACCCUCGGAAACGGGGGCUAAUACCGGAUACAACCUUUGGUCGCAUGACUGGGGGUGGAAAGUUUUUCGGCCUGGGAUGGGCUCGCGGCCUAUCAGCUUGUUGGUGGGGUGAUGGCCUACCAAGGCGACGACGGGUAGCCGGCCUGAGAGGGCGACCGGCCACACUGGGACUGAGACACGGCCCAGACUCCUACGGGAGGCAGCAGUGGGGAAUAUUGCACAAUGGGCGGAAGCCUGAUGCAGCGACGCCGCGUGAGGGAUGACGGCCUUCGGGUUGUAAACCUCUUUCAGCAGGGACGAAGCGCAAGUGACGGUACCUGCAGAAGAAGCGCCGGCCAACUACGUGCCAGCAGCCGCGGUAAGACGUAGGGCGCGAGCGUUGUCCGGAUUUAUUGGGCGUAAAGAGCUCGUAGGCGGCUUGUCGCGUCGACCGUGAAAACUUGGGGCUCAACCCCAAGCCUGCGGUCGAUACGGGCAGGCUAGAGUUCGGUAGGGGAGACUGGAAUUCCUGGUGUAGCGGUGAAAUGCGCAGAUAUCAGGAGGAACACCGGUGGCGAAGGCGGGUCUCUGGGCCGAUACUGACGCUGAGGAGCGAAAGCGUGGGGAGCGAACAGGAUUAGAUACCCUGGUAGUCCACGCUGUAAACGUUGGGCGCUAGGUGUGGGGGGCCUCUCCGGUUCUCUGUGCCGCAGCUAACGCAUUAAGCGCCCCGCCUGGGGAGUACGGCCGCA
rnacentral:rRNA from 1 species